GCCAUCUCGCCAGCAUGGUUCUCACCUUUCCCGUAAGACCAAUGCUGCCUGACUCCAGUCCUGAAAGGGAACACCACAGAAGACGCUGCCUUGGGGACUCAGAAAAUGGGCUCAGCUUUUGCCAGGAAGCCCCUGGGACUGGCCCAUUGGGCUAGGAACCAAAAGCGGCUUAGAAUCUAGCAACAGCUUGACAGCCUGGGUGAACUUUGUACCCGUUUCCCAGAUGGACACAAGCCUAGAGGACCCCAGCCUGGCCACGGUCUACUAGGGCCCAGGAGAGGAUGGGGGUGAGAAUGGAGGGUCUUCAAGGGUUAAAAUACAAGACGUCCAGUUAAAUUUGAACUUCAAAUAAACGAGAAAUUUUUAAGAAUGUAAGUAUGUUCCACACAAUAUUUGAGACAUGCCUACACUAAAUAACUAUUGGUUGCUUAUCUGAAAUUCAAAUUUCAGAGCUGCUAACCAGCCACUCUCCAGCCAGGACAGCCUCCCAAACUAACUCUCAAGCACUCCAGAACCAAGCGCGGAAACCCCGCGAAGCCCCUCCUUGACUCCGCUCCGCCACCAAGUAGGGCUGGAGCCACUUCCGGCCUUCCCCGGAAGUAACGUCAGUCUCAGGUCUUUGCGAAGGAAGUGGCUGCCGCGUUAUGUCCGGUGGUGACCGGAGAAAGAAGUACCCGCCGUCCAGAAGUACCUGGACCCGCCACUGCCCGGCCCAUGGACUGCUUCCGUGGGCCUUCGCGCUGUGGACUUACCGCUCCACGGCUCCCGGCCGCAGUUUCCGGUACCGGGGGCCGGAAGUACUCUCGGUCCAGCUGGAGGAGUUUGGGAGUAGAGAAGACUUUUUUCGUCCCUUCUGUUGGCAUAGUUGGCGGGGUACUUGAACUCGCCCGACAUCACUCACUCCAGAUCCAGCAGCAGCUCAGAGAUCCCGGACAUCUGACAUACAACGGGCCAAAGGCUGCCUUCCUCAUGGUCCAAUGUGGCUACAGCAGUCCCAGACAUCACCUCCCGCACAGCAGUGAGCACCAGAUGGAGAGGGAUCAUCUCCUCCUUGUAUCUCUUUUAGAAGCAAAGAAACCUUCCAAGGCCCAUCCCCAGGACAUUUCCUCUCAUUUCUCAAUGGCAAUAAUAUCAUCACACCUGUAAGCCUAAUCCCAUCACUGGGAAGGGAA